rnacentral:rRNA from 1 species
CGUAGGUGGCAAGCGUUGUCCGGAUUUAUUGGGUUUAAAGGGUGCGUAGGUGGCCCUGUAAGUCAGUGGUGAAAUAUCUCAGCUUAACUGAGAGGGUGCCAUUGAUACUGCAGGGCUUGAGUACAGAUGAGGUAGGCGGAAUUGACGGUGUAGCGGUGAAUGCAUAGAUAUCGUCAAGAACACCGAUAGCGAAGGCAGCUUACCAAGCUGUAACUGACACUGAGGCACGAAAGUGUGGGGAUCAAACAGGAUUAGAUACCCUGGUAGUCCACACUGUAAACGUUGAUGACUCGAUGUUGGCGAUACACAGCCAGCGUCCAAGAGCAAUCGUUAAGUCAUCCACCUGGGGAGUACGCCGGCAACGGUG